rnacentral:rRNA from 1 species
CCCUUAGAUGUCCUGGGCUGCACGCGCGCUACACUGGAAGUUACGGAUUGAGAUACUACCUUGUCCGAAAUGGUCCGGGUAAUCACCUAAAAGCUUGUCAUAAUUGGAAUGGAUUAUUGUAACUAGUAAUCCUGAACGAGGAAUUCCCAGUAAGUCCCAGUCAACAGCUGGUACUGAUUACGUCCCUGCCCUUUGUACACACCGCCCGUCGCUACUACUGAUUGGACGUUUAAGCAAGAUUUUUAAACACUGACAGUGUGUAGUUCACGCUAUACUACAGUGAGAAGAAGAAGAUCGAGCUUACUUGUCUAGAGGAAGUAAAAGUCGUAACA